GCGGUCGCCUCCUAAAAGGUAACGGAGGCGCUCAAAGGUUCCCUCAGAAUGGUUGGAAAUCAUUCAUAGAGUGUAAAGGCAUAAGGGAGCUUGACUGCGAGACUUACAAGUCGAGCAGGGUCGAAAGACGGACUUAGUGAUCCGGUGGUUCCGCAUGGAAGGGCCAUCGCUCAACGGAUAAAAGCUACCCCGGGGAUAACAGGCUUAUCUCCCCCAAGAGUUCACAUCGACGGGGAGGUUUGGCACCUCGAUGUCGGCUCAUCGCAUCCUGGGGCUGUAGUCGGUCCCAAGGGUUGGGCUGUUCGCCCAUUAAAGCGGUACGCUAGCUGGGUUCAGAACGUCGUGAGACAGUUCGGUCCCUAUCCGUCGUGGGCGUAGGAAAUUUGAGAGGAGCUGUCCUUAGUACGAGAGGACCGGGAU
rnacentral:rRNA from 1 species